CGCCUGGACGCGCGUUGCGCUGCCGCCUGAAAAGCGGAAGGUCGCCGGUUCGAUCCCGGCCCUGGCCA
rnacentral:tRNA from 2 species